rnacentral:lncRNA from 1 species
GUUUCUCUGAUCUCUCAGCGUCUGACUUCACACCUGAGCGUAGAACAGAGAACGUGUGAAAACAAGAGCUUUGUUGCUAAGGAGCAUUCGAAAGUCCCCACUGCUGUCAGAGCAACAUGCCAGGACUCUCUCCUUUCUGUCCAGUUCCUACUAACUUGGCGAUAUAUGAAAUACCACCUCGCACAGGAGAAUGGAGCUUGGAAACCCAACUUGGAAACACCAGUUCCACACUGGCAGGAGAGGAACACAGCCUGCUGCCUCCUGUGGGGUGCCCUGCAUCACGCAUGGAGCGAGUGAGUGUGGUCCUGCCUUCAAGGCUACGCUGUUCUGAGCUUCUGGCCAGGGUCUGAAUGUGGACAGAUGCUGCAGCUCCAUCCUGGAGGAGCUGAGCUCUCCAAGUGCCCUCUAGCAGUGGGAAGGAAGGAACACAGCACCAUGGAUGCCUUGGGCUGGACCCUCUGACCAGUUGCUGUAGGUGACAGCAGGAAGGACACGGUAGCAUCCAGCAGCACCAGGACUGUGAGGUGCAAAAGGCAAACUGAGACAGGCACGAGCUCUUUGUUUAUUCCCAAAUAGAGUGAUCAGGCAGCAGGCACCACCUCUGCCACGACACCCCCUGUAAAGGGCUGUUGCCCAGAAGUUCACCGCAUCAGUAAAAAUGCAAACUGUAAGCUGAUUAGAUAUUCAUAGAUACUCUUUCUUGAUUAGCUCACCAUUAAUAUUUCAAUGUCAGUAUUGGAUGCAGACUGCCUCCCUGCUCUCUUCCUUCCUGCUUAAUUAAUUUUGACCAUCACCGACAACAGCCUCCAACAGAUAGCAGAAAUUAAAGUGGGCUGUUCCGUGACUUUGCUUGCUGUAAACAGCUAUUUGCAAUUCCUUUUCAUACAUCACCCACCCGCGACAAAGAGAUCAUGGUAGCAGAAAAUGAAGAUCCCUCGUAAGGACUUCAGAGCUCCAAAAGAACAUUUGCUUAUUCGAUAAAAAUAAUCAGAAGGACAAUGCAGUAGGCUCAACUCAGCAACAAGAUUUGUGUCUCACCUAGUAAUCAGCUGGCUGUUACGCCAUUAAAAAAAAAAAAAAAAAAAAAAGGAAGAGAAUUGUUAAUUUAUUUUUAAAAAAAAAGGGCCUUUGAUUUAGGGGGGCUCAUAAAGGCCGUAGUAUCACCCAGCUGGAAAACCAGCCUAGAAAGGAGAAGAGAUAGGAAACAUCAUGUUCAGGCCACGCUACAGAUAUUAGCUGAGAGGGCAU